AAUCAACGCUGGCGGCGUGCCUAACACAUGCAAGUCGAACGCGAAAGCCCCGCAAGGGGCAAGUAGAGUGGCAAACGGGUGAGUAACACGUGGGUGACCUGCCUUCGAGCGGGGGAUAACGUCCCGAAAGGGACGCUAAUACCGCAUAACAUCCUGCCUUUGAAGAGGUGGAGAUCAAAGCGUGGGGAUCGCAACGACCCGGCACUUGAAGGACGGGGCCCGCGCCUGAUUAGCAGGUUGGUGGGGUAAUGGCCUACCAAGGCAACGAUCAGU
rnacentral:rRNA from 1 species